AACUGGUCCAAGUGUCAUGGUGUUUACAAUUAAUUGAUCACAGCCAAUUCUAGAUUUCUUUGUUUCUGUCUCCAUUCUUAUUGACUUGUCUUUA
rnacentral:Y_RNA from 1 species